rnacentral:lncRNA from 1 species
AUUUUACUCACCCCUGGUGGGUCUUCUGAAGGCCAAACCCACACCAGUAUAGGAGGCCCCCUAAAACUGGGUACAGUGGAUUUUAACUCUGGAGUUAGUCUGCAGUCAGCUUUCAGCAGUUCAUCAGUUGCUGUUUAUUUGUUCCUACCAGUUUCUAUCUCCAUAUGUCUCUGGUCCCGGUAAACUGUGAUUCUCUAUACUUGCAUGUCUGUCUGGUUUUUGCUGUGGCAGUUUGUGAUGUGACCUCAGUGCUCUUAACCACAAGAAUCCAGGUAGAGUCCUGUGAUCAUGGAUGUAAUAGAAGCUAUUCAACAGUUCCUGAUACGGUGGUAAGUCUCAUGAUGACCAACAGUGGCAGUUUGUUGUAUCCAUGGCCAUGAUGAUCAAGAGGGAUAUUGUAAGUGUGGGGUUCUUACAUUUAUUUUAGCAUGUUUCCUGUACAUAUUUAGUAAAGGAAUGAUUCUGUUUACCACUGCUAGUAACAAGUAGCUUAUUAUAUAAAGUUUUGAUAAACUCUGAAUUUAAUCCUAGGAGGUGUGGAGGCAUAUGCAGGGAUCCAUGUAAGUUAUUCAACUGAUCCACAUCACAGUAUUGACCAUAAUUUUUUCUACAGGUAGCCAGCCAAGAGAAAAUGGUGUGAAGAACAACAUCUCUGACCUUGAAGUUCUAAAGAUCUAAGUACUUCAGUUGGUUUCCCUGAUGAUGGAGGUGACCAAAAUUUUAAAGUUGUCCUUUUUUUCUCCCCUCAGGUGAAAGAUGAUGCGUCCUAAACACACAUCUCAAAGUGUUGUCUAAGAUUCCAACAGUUAUUAAAUUAUAGUGAUUGAACUUAAGAAUGGUAAUUUAUGAAAUGUUAUGACUAACCUGGUAAGUAAGAAAUUGUCCCUACCAAGAUGCCAACAAAUAACCUUCAGAUUUCUUGGUAAAGUGGAUGGGAUAUCUAACACAAUGUUACCCUGGCUUUUUGGCAGGUAUUCCAUUAAGUUUUAUCCUAGUGUACAGGUUUGUUGACUUUAAAUCAUUAGAGGCAUUUCUUAUUUUUUGGUAUUUAUAUCAUGAAUGAUGCUUUUGAACUCCUGUGGUAACCUCUGCUUAGAACACAGUUCAAAAUAUGAUUUGUCAGUAAUGCUUUUUGUAAAUAUGAGAUUGUACUAUGGACUUAUUUAGAGAUUGUGAUAGGUUAUUGUAUAGGGAUGCAGGUCAUUGACCAUAUUUCCUAUCCCCUAGUAUUGACCAUGGGAAUUUUGCUAGUGUUUCUUCCAAACAAGAUGGUAUUUCUUAGUAGGCUUUUACCUCAGUGUUCAGCUUUAGCCAUGUAAUUGUGAUAAGAAUAUGAUUUGUCAUGUUGAAAGCCAUGACCAAGGGAAUGUGUCAAUGUCUUCCUUGAAUGACAUAGGUUCCAAAAUCAUUUUUCAUGAUUUGAUUUUCAAGUUCCUCUGAAGACACUGUGGUUAUCCUACCCAUGGGAGUGAGUCAAGUCCAUAGAGGGUUAUGAGGUAAGUGCUGAGGUACCCUAAACCAGGUCUUCAUCUAUAGAGGAAAGGGAUGAGGGUGUCCUGACUAUUACUAGAUUUAGUGGUCACUGCUCCUAUAAGAAAUAAUUUUGUCCUUCACAGUUCUAGUAAAUAUGAGUUUAUCCUUUAUAUGCCAUAGGGAAAAUUGGUGUUUUAGCAAGGACUGCUGAGGGAGUGAUUAUGAACUGGUUAAUUGAAAUCAUUGUGGAACUCUAUGACUGCGGUAAGCAUAGGUUAAUUUCCAGGGUGUGGAGAUGACAAAAUAUGGGCUCUCUGACAAUACUGUUUUUGUUUGGCGAAUCCAAGUAUCCUGAGGAGUUCGGCCGUCCUUUAGCAAUGGGCAUUAAAAAGGGAGUGGGCUCAUGUUCUGACACAGCACCUUCUAUGCCAAACUGGCUUUGUAUGUUUUUCAGAUGCCCUUCAAGAGAACACAGUGAUCCAGAAAAGAUGGUUGUUGCAGUCACCCUAGUAACAAGGUAAAUGAUAAAAUGGUCAUAGUCCAGUGAAGGCUGUUUGAUCUUCUAUAAUCCUGGCAAGUUCCUAACUAGGUGCUCAGAUGUUAAGGUCUUGGCUAGUGUAUUGGUCUGGGAUGAUAGUCACUCACUAGUGACAUCUCAUUUUCAGCAAUUCAUUUUAUGACUGUGUUAGGUUUUAUUAUAUUCCCCCACUUCUGGUGAUACAUGUUUUCAAAACAUAUUAUCACCUUAAUAUUACAAGGAUACAUCAAAUGUCAUUGCAUCUUUUCUGGAAUGUAAUAGAUGUAAUAUGCUUGUAUUGCUACUGGUGGAGAAGAGAUUCAUGUAAUUUUCACUGAGUCCAUCUCUGAAAUAUUGUCCUUGGAAGGUUUGCAUGUAUCACUGAAGACAGACAACACUCUCUUACAAGGCUUUAUCCAUGGAAGCCUCCAAGUAUCUAGAUAACAUAAGUGGAUGCUGAAACGAUGAAGUGACAUAGGGGAUUUGGAGUUGUAUAAGUGCAAAUGAGACAUAUACCAAAUCAGAAGUCUAUGACAAGAGUCCAUAGAUGGGUGAAUACAUCACAGCAAGCAAAAUAAGUUUGUAAAGUAGAACACUACUGAUCCCUCUAUAAGUGCUAAUGUGGGCAUUCACCACAUCACAGGAAAUCAGAUCUUCAUAUACAGGGAUGAGUGAUGAGGAUGUCCUUGACACUUGUUACUGAGGUUUUGUUACAAGUACUAAUGGAUGAAAUGAGAGACAUGAUGAAAAUAUCUAGUGAAUGCAAUACUGCAUUUUGUAUGAGACAGAAAUGAAUAUUGAACCUGUACAAUUUCAGGGAUCCAUCGCAUCAUGGUUGGAUGUAGACAUGGUGGUGUUACAACACAACAGUAAACAUUGAAAAAUUUACAGAUGGCUCUAUUACACAUUUGGACAUGCCAGAGAAUACAAUUUACAUAGAAUUAAGGACUCUAUUAACACAUAGCUGAAGGAUGCCUUUCUGUUUCUGGGUGAGGGGCAGAAAGAGUCAGUGACAUGGAAGAGCAAGAUGAGAGCUAAAUGACAGUUUUCUGUAGGUGCUUUCAAGUUAAUGGAAGUGAUCACUUGAAUGAGUGUGUUGAAAAAACCUUGAACAAACCAAGGAAAAACAAAAGUAUAAAUUACAGCCCAUUGGCACCCAUCCAAUCUUCAAUAUCCAGGUGGCUAGCAUAAGGGUAAUAGCCCAAUGAGAUGUUGUCAUGUACUGGAUUCUUAUGCUGGGAAGGUCACUGUGACUGUCGAGUUCUGAGCUGACCCCACAUUCACACAUCAGAGACCUUAUUUUCAGAUGUGAUUUUCAUUGUUGAUAGUGAAACUCUGAGGUAGUCUCCUUUAUUUGGCAAGUGUGAGGUUAAGGGCCUCAUUCCUAUCAGGGUGUAGAAUCAGGUGCUACUGAAUCCAGGCCGAAAGUGUGCCUUUAAACUGGCCAUUGUAAAGGGGAACAAAAGAGGGAGGGGAGGGGGAGAGGAAAGAAGAAAGAAAGAAAAGAAAAUAGAAGAAAAAAUGGAAACAAAGCUUUUGUAAAUAAAGGAGAAGGAGAGAGGUAGAGGGAGGGGAGGAGAAUGGGAAAAAAAGAAGAAGAAAGAUACAUCAUGAACAGGUACAAAUUCCCUGUGAUGAAUGCUAUCGUUAUGUUUACCUGAAAUGUACUAAUAAAGUUUUUGCUUCAAAAAAAAAGAACAACAACAACAACAACAACAAACUAGGCAUUGUGGAGGAAAAGCAAGGAUUCAGAUAAUUAUC